UACGUAGGGGGCAAGCGUUGUUCGGAUUUACUGGGCGUAAAGGGCGCGUAGGCGGCGCGUAAAGUCGGACAUGAAAUCAUUGGGCUUAACCCAAUGGCUGUGCCCGAUCCUUGCGUGCUUAGAGUGCGGGAGAGGCAAUCGGAAUUCUCGGUGUAGCGGUGAAAUGCGUAGAUAUCGAGAGGAACUCCAGUGACGAAGGUGGGUUGCUGGACCGACACUGACGCUGAGGCGCGAAAGCUCGGGGAGCAAACGGG
rnacentral:rRNA from 1 species